AUGGAGCUGGAGGUGCCGGACGAGGCGGAGAGAGCCGAGGCGGGGGCCGUCCCUCCAGAGGCAGAAUGGGCUGGGGAGAGUGGGGCGGCGGCGCCCUCGGCGACAGGUCUGCCGCAGAAGAAGUCAACUGUAAGUGAGUCCCCGAUGUUGUCUGGACAAUCCAGUGGACAUGGGAAGAAGUUAGGUCAUCGGGGAGUUGAUGCUUCUGGAGAAACCACCUACAAAAAGACCACCUCCUCUACUCUUCGGGGGGCCAUCCAGUUAGGAAUUGGCUACACUGUAGGCAACCUGAGCUCCAAACCAGAAAGAGAUGUCCUCAUGCAGGAUUUUUAUGUGGUGGAGAGCAUCUUUUUCCCCAGUGAAGGAAGUAACCUCACUCCUGCCCAUCACUAUGCUGACUUCAGAUUCAAAACCUAUGCACCUGUGGCUUUUCGGUAUUUCCGAGAGCUCUUUGGUAUUCGUCCCGACGACUAUUUGUAUUCCUUGUGCAAUGAACCACUGAUUGAACUUUCCAACCCAGGUGCCAGUGGCUCCCUCUUCUAUGUCACUAGUGAUGAUGAGUUCAUCAUUAAGACUGUGAUGCACAAGGAAGCAGAGUUCCUGCAGAAGCUGCUUCCUGGAUAUUACAUGAAUUUAAACCAGAAUCCUCGGACUCUGCUGCCUAAGUUUUAUGGGCUAUACUGUGUUCAGUCUGGAGGGAAGAACAUCCGAGUGGUGGUAAUGAACAACAUACUUCCCCGCUUAGUAAAGAUGCACCUUAAGUUUGACUUAAAGGGCUCUACGUACAAGCGACGGGCAAGCAAGAAGGAAAAGGAGAAGUCCAUCCCCACUUAUAAGGACCUGGACUUUAUGCAGGACAUGCCUGAGGGGCUGAUGCUGGAUGCUGACACUUUUACUGCACUGGUGAAAACUCUGCAGAGAGACUGUUUGGUGUUGGAGAGUUUUAAGAUCAUGGACUACAGCCUAUUGCUGGGGGUGCAUAACAUUGACCAGCAGGAACGGGAAAGGCAGACAGAGGGAGCCCAGAGCACAUCAGAUGAGAAGCGUCCAGUUGGCCAGAAGGCUCUCUACUCUACUGCUAUGGAAUCUAUCCAGGGUGGGGCUGCCCGGGGGGAAUCUAUAGACACUGAUGACACGAUGGGUGGGAUCCCAGCAGUGAAUGGCCGUGGGGAGCGUCUACUGCUGCACAUAGGAAUAAUUGACAUCCUGCAAUCUUACAGAUUCAUCAAGAAGCUGGAGCACACAUGGAAGGCUCUUGUCCAUGAUGGGGACACUGUCUCUGUGCACCGCCCCAGCUUCUAUGCUGAGAGAUUUUUCAAGUUCAUGAGCAACACAGUCUUUCGGAAGAACUCCUCUCUGAAAUCAUCACCAUCAAAGAAGGGCAGAACCACUUUGGUGACCGUCAAACCUCCUGGACCAACAGCUGCCUUCUCUGCCAGCCAGAUUCCUAGUGAGAGGGAGGAAACACAUUAUGACCUGCGAGGAGCCCGGAGUUACCCCACACUGGAGGACGAAGGCAGACCUGACCUACUGCCCUGUACUCCUCCAUCAUUUGAAGAAGCAACUACAGCCUCCAUAGCUACAACCUUGUCAUCUACAUCCCUCUCCAUCCCUGAGCGAUCUCCUUCUGAGACCUCUGAGCAUCCUCGAUACAGGCGCCGCACACACUCCUCUGGACAUGAUACCCGAUCCCAUGAUGAAGUCCAUGUGGAAGAGGAUCUCCAGCAGAUCACUGUUGAAGUUGAAUCCAAAUCUAGCGUUGAUGUCAUGGCUCCCAAAGAAGAGGCUGCAGGGGAAGAGGCUUCUUCUGCCAGCAUUAUGGUCACACCCCCGGCCACCGUGGAAGUGGAAACCACCAGCCAGGCCUCAGAGCCAGCCAGCCAGGCCUCAGAUGAAGACGAGGCACCUGUCACAGACAUCUACUUUUUCACGGAUGGGAGGUACUGGAUUUACUCUCCCCGCCAUCGCCGACUCCGGGCCAUCGUGCUGUCCCCCUCCAGGACUGUGAGGAAACUGAGGCCCAGCGAGUUUCAGUGACUUGCCCAAAGUCACACAAUGGGUAAGUGGCAGAGCCAGAGCUCAUAGCCAGAUUUUCUAAGUUCAGUAUUUUUCCAUAAUGCUGUAUAUCACAGUGGUAGGCAUAGCAGCAGGAGCAAAAAUACAGAACUGGGAAGGCAGCAACCAAAGUCAAGAUAAGUUAGGUCAUUUUGGCUGAAGUAGAGGAUUCAAAGAAGGUCAAAGAUUAAGCAUGGAAAGUAUGUAAUUCUAAACUAGCCUGUGGAAGAAUAGAAAGAUUUUUAACUUGAUCCUGAUUUUAAUGAAAUGAGUAUCUUCCCCUUCCCCAGUUGGCUUACUAAAGAGCUAAAGAAUGGAGAGCUGGAAGCUUUGCACCCUUAGGUCAGAAGGGUCAUUAGCACUUAGCUAGUCUUUCAGUAUCUGAGAGAGGAUUCCUUGCACCCUGAUCUGGCUCUUACGUGAAGUAUAGGGAGGGAUGCUAGAAUCCGAGAUCUCGAGGGGGUUGUGUAGGUUUUAAAAAGCAGUAUCAACAAUCCAGUCCAUGAAAUUGGAGAAUACAGGGACCUGAACCACUUUCAAAAUACCAACAGUCACCAUUUACAUAGCACUUUAGAGUUUGAAAAGAACUUUUUUAUAUUAUCUCAUUUAAAGCUCACCACAACCCUGUGAGGUAUGUACCUCAGUUAAUAUUGUCCCCAUUUACAGAGGAAGAAACAGGUUCAGAGAGGUCAGCUGGCUUGUUCAUGCUCCAACAACUAAUGUUGAAGGUAGGAUGCAAAUCCAGGUGUCUCUUGACUCCGUGUUCAGUGCCUACCCUUCCCACCACACCGAAGCUGAAUCCGAGCACCACGGGGAAAAGCAGUGCUUCUCUUCUGCUCAGGCUCGGCUCUCAUGACCAGGCCCAUUCCGACCUGGGACUUUUCUUUACUAGGCCUGCUCCAAAGCUGUGGGGUGACAGCCGCUUCUCUCAUCCUAUCUCUGUCAUCAUGUGUAAGGAAACUCUUAAGUGUUGCUGGACCAAAGGCUGGGAUAUGGCUGGAGGACAUGGGGAGGAAGAGAACUUGGUAUUUACAUGGGGUAGAGAGGUCACCUGAAACUUGACCUUUCCUCAUUCUGUCUAGGUGUGGCUCAGGUGAGGAGAGAGGGAUUACAGCAUUCCCAUUGGAAGCCCAGUUUCCCUGUUUCCAAGGCAGGAUUGGUGGGCAAGGCUGAGAUCGACAGACUGACAGGGAUUCCCUUCGAACUGUUUUGUUCAUGUCGGUUUUAACCUGUGUUAUUAGCUACCCGGAGGGAUCUCUCUGGCUCAGUAUUACUAGCCAGGCCAGAACAGCCACAGUCCGCCCCUCUUUACCUCAUGCUGGACAACCUAAGUUUCUAAGGCAGUGCCAGAACACUAGCUUUCCUUUUGACUUCAAGCUUCAAUUAACAGGACCUCCCUCCCAGUUCCCCAGGAAAGCAGUUGCAGCAGAAUCAAUAGCUUGUUGGGCCUGAUGUCACCUCUUAAUUAAACACAAGUUAUUACCUCCUGAUUAAGAAGUAGAAGAGAAAUCCCAGGUCUGUAGCCUGGUGUCACUACAGUAAUUUCUAUGCAGACAUGAAGCCUGAAGCCAAGCCUGGUCCCCUCUCCAGGUUGCCGUGUUACCCUUGUGUUAAUAUCCUGCCCAUCUGGGCUGGCCGUGAGGGAGUUUGCCGACUCGCUGCAGCACAGGACCUUCUCCGCCAACUCACAUCCCACUGGAACCCUGCCUGAGCCUCCCGUCUUUGUCCUUUCUUCCCACUGACCAAUUCAACCGUGACCAUCCUGGGACCAAAGGCAGUGACUGAAAAGACUCAACUCCCUAGCCCAGAAUGCCCAGAAGAGAAGAAAUCAGUGGGGUGAAAUCGAAGUGAAGGCAGUUUUCCCCCUGGGCACUCCUGUAAACUACCUAUGAGUGUGUGAUACUGUGAACCUUUUUAAUUUUUAAAUCAUGUAUUUAUUUUGGGUCUUGAAUCUUUGCACACAGACACAGCAGCACAAAUGUGCUUUUUUUUAUCUGAUUAAUUGCACUUUCAGUUCCUCUCUGUACUACAUGUAUAUCAUGAGAUCACGUGAAACCUCACUGGAGUUCUUGAGAGGGCAAUUCACCUUGGCUUUGUGGGUGGGCUGGGUAUGGGUUUCAGUGUGUUUGGUCAGAGGAAAGACAGGUUCCUCUAUGUGGCACCUCCGUCUGAAAUCUGUGCUCCAAACCUCUGGACUGCCGAAUUGCUGGUGACCUGUAAAGUGAGUCGGGUCAUUGGCACAGGAAAGAGGGAAGGAAUUAUUACUGUCUUUUCCUCAUUUAUACGGCAUCACAUCCCCUUCUUCAUCUUCCUCAGCAUUCUGAGAAUGCUCUGUGUGUCAAGACAUUGCUGUCCCUAUCUUUGUAUGGAUUGCUUAGCCCCCUGUUGGAGCUCAGUGAGUCACCCUCUGCAUGGCAUGGGCCUUCUAACAGGCAUCCUGAAAAAGGAAUCCCCCCUCAUUUCUCUGAUGUGCCCUGGGGCAGGUGUGCAAAUAGUUGCUACCCAGUCUUUGGGAAUUGAGUCUGGAUGUCACACCAACCCCCCUCCCCCCUCCCUCGAUUCCACAUGGAGAGAGGAGAGACUCAUCCUCUCUGAACAUGUGCACAAAACAAUCAGGUGACUACCUGUCAGCAAGUCAACCAACAACUUCCAUUCACAUCCUUUGGACAGAGUCUCACUUUUUGAAGGCCCUGCUGGCUCCCAGUCUUGUCUAGAAGUAGCAUGGGGAAGAUGGAGAAAGCACUGUCUAUGUUGUUGCAAAAGAGCCUUUGGCAUCAUGUUCUCAUCCAGAAUGACAGUGUGUUCCCCUGCUUUAUAGAAGUGGGAGCCCGACACGAGAUAGAUGCCUUGAUCUGAAGGUAAGGACUCAGCUUUGGUAGAAGCUCUUGGUAGCCAUGGGGUGUGGCAAGUUUAAGAGCUCUGCCUUUGGAUUUGGAAAUGGAUUUAUACCCCCUUUCUCUUCCUGCAGAUUUGGUUCCACUGGCCAGAAGGGAAACAUUUUGACAUCACUUACUGGCUCAAAGAUCACGAGUUUUGAAAGUGCUGCUUUUGAAAUAUUGAUGUGUUCUACCUGGUGCUCCUGAGGUGUGGCAUUCCCUAGGGGACUGACCAAGGGCUCAGAGAGUCCUUAUGUCUCCCUCACCUCUUUAUGGCCCAAAGUGGCUACUCCUCUGAGAGGUAUGGAGCCUAUUCCUUUUACUCACAGCUAAGAAUUAUGGACUUCUUAAUAUAAAUAUGACAAAUUAUUUGGAUUCCAGAAGAGACAAAGGCAGUGUUGGGAAAUUUUUCCACUAGAUGUUAAAGCAGUGGCUUCAACAAAAUUUAAGCCACUCCGGAAGGGAAAGGGGUGGGCAGUAGCAAGAAAAUCAGGCCAUUGUGCACAAGAGACUUGAUAGGGCAGUUUGUAAUUAAAGCAAGGCAUAUUUGUUGAAAUAGCAGUUUAGGUCAGCAACAAGCAGGGCAUUAAUCCUCUUUACUAUUCAGGAACUUCCAGAGACACAACCCCAAGAACCCUUCUUACUCCACCACCUUUCCAUCCAGUUGCAUGUAUGUCUCUGGCAGGCAAAUUGAUUGACAUCAUUUGUUAAGGGCAGACCUCAAAAGCUUUACCCAGAGCAUAUGCAAGUUGUCAUGACUAACCUAUGUGAUUACCUACCCCACCCCGACUAGGCCCUGGCAGGGAGGGAAGCAAAGGGUCCAUUUAUUGAUCUAGGAGAUUAGGAGAUUAGGCUCUUCCCUGCUGUGAGAUUCUUUGUCUACAGAAACAACACUUAAAAGUAACGGUGUUAAUGAGUGGUUUUGUUAUUUUUGAUGGUAGGGGUAAAAAAAAAAAAAACUAUUACUGUGUAGAUUAAAGAAAGUGAGACCAUUCUUUGGGAAAGGAAGAGUGAAUGAAGAGGGGGCACUAACAGCCACAAAUAAGGAAACAAAUCUAAUAGUGCAGCAAUUAAUUAGAACAUUUUCCCCCAGAUCCUACAUUAGAGUUAAGUUAGAAGCAUGACAUUCCAUACUAGUCUUUCCAAGUUGAAAAGAAGCUGAUUUGAUAAAUCCCCUUUACCAAGUCCCAACUCCCCUCUCCACCUAUUAAGUAGUAUUUUGUGUAUGUAUUUAUGAGGUUUUUAAUCUUCCAUUAGCUUCCUGUCACCUACACUGCACUAUUUGAUUGCACUAAUUAGAAGUAUCUUGUAGAAGUUAGCCCAAAAGACAGGAAGGUUUGGGGAAUGCACUUAUUCAGGCUGGAGAUAGGGUGGCCAGGGAGGGAGGCUGGGGGAAUCCGUGCAGUUACCCUUUUCCUGGUCUCUUUUGAGGAGGUUUUUGUUGUUGUUUUCUUAACCCUGUCAGAAUUUGCAAAGCCAGAUGUAGUGGCUUGUAAAAGUUGUAAGGCACCUCCUUCCCUGUUAUUUUCUUUCUGCCACUUUGUAGUGUCUGAAGAAUGUAGUUCCCUUUCCCCCAGACCUAUUACUCUCUGCACGAUGCCCCAGACACCCAGAGUAUCAUUAAAAUCUGGUCCCAUCACUACUCACCAUACACACCCUACCCAACAAGAGGACUCAAAUCUAAAUCCUUGCCACAGCCUCUUUUGGAGGUGGAUUUAAAUGUAAAUCCCCAUUCCCGUUCCACCAAUUCCCAACUUUUACAUUAUCCCAAAAAAUUGUGAUCUUAAGUCAUGUUCAGGGAAGCCCCAUUGGGAUAUUAGGCUUUGCCAUGAGUUACAAGGUAAGGGACCUGUGCUUCAAAGUCAGGGCCUCCUAGUUUCCAUUCAUCAUACCAUCAUGGAAUGUUCCAGUAGUAGUUAGUGGAAGGGCAAGAAAUCAGAACUGGGAGGGAAUAGAUAGGAAUUUAUAUUGAAGUACAGUAGUAACAAACACUCAAUUUAGGCCUUUGAAAAUUUCUGCUGAAAGAGUGAGGGAGUAGUCUCUGUAAGUUGUGGGAUAUUGAACAGCCUUGUAUCUCUGGGUUUCAGGUCAGCCGAAAGUCCUGCUCUUGGGUCACCUCUGUCGGACCCUCUAUACUAUUUGCACAGUUACCUCUGUUACAAGAAAAACCAACUGACCUCAUUUUGUGGCUGGAAGCUUAUUUUGAGUUCUGUUGAGUUGAAUACUGCACAUACAUAAGCUUAUUUUUCAUCCCUCUCCACCAAAGGAGACCUUGGUGAUGUGGGGUGGGGUGGAGAAGGUAGCUGAUUUGUAUCUACUACUCUCUAAUCUGCAUUCAGGAAGGAAAAGGUCUCCCAUCCUGCUUUCUGGCAAAAGGAAUAGUGGGCCUUGGCCCACUUGGAGGUAAUGGGGUUGUUGGGCAUCUUGUACUUCAAAUGGUGCAUGUUGGAUUCAAGCCCCCUGAGACUCUGAGGAGCUGUGCACUUGGACCAGCAUAAAUAUGAAUGCUGUACCCCAGUUUAACAUAUCCUACAAGGGUCUUUUUGUGCACCCCAGAAAGAGCACUGCAUCUGCCAGGGAUUGAACAGAAAUGUUUAUUGAUUCCAUUAUGGAAUCCCCACAAACGGCCUUUAUCAUCAUGAUACAGUGCAAUGGUUCCUUCUGACCAGUGUCCCAUCCAGCAAACACAAGGAGGUGUCAGAAGGCCCGAGAUGCUACCUGGGCCAGACCUCCUAUCGAUGGGCUACCAUUUUAGGUCAAUAAACCACUAAAGCAGUAUUCUCCAAAGAGUAGCCCCAAGUGGAGCCUCUAAACAUCUCAGGAGUUGAACACCCCUCCCCCCACGUUAAUCAUUUUUCCCAUAGAAUGGAAUCAUUCACAAGCAAGUGAUGAAUCCUGAUUGAGUCAAGUGUCACAACUCAGAGUGGCCCUAGUUUUCCCCGGUCUCCCCCAUUCCCCCACCCCUGACACACUGAAAUAAUUUGUUGCCUAUCGCCUGCACUCUGCACUGUUGGGCUAACCAAGAGGGAGAAUACAAGAGUUCUUGGGGCAGGGGAGGAGAGGGAAUGAUAACGGACCAAGGGCACAGUUUAUCAUCCUGGGACCCUCUCCAAGGACUCGGAAUAGCUGGUUUGUCCCCACUUGUCUUUAGAUUUCCUGUGGUCUUGUCCUCCUUCCUCGGAAAGGCAAAACCCUUAACUCAGGCCUACCAAGGUUGCUUCUGAUUCUGGAAGUCUCCAGUUGACACAAGAAUAAAAAUACCUGCAGUCCAUGUCAUUUCUUGAGUCUUACUCUGUAUGAGUAUCAUGUUACAAAUGUAUGUAAGUAGGUAUGUAGUUUAUCAUAUAUGGGGGGAGGGGGGAAGGGAUAGAAAAAUCCAAACUUCUGUUGAUAGUCAUGUUUCUAUUUUUGCUUUAAGACAUGAAGGCCCUUUUUUGAAACCCUUUGUCCCCAGGGAGCUGUAAAUUGAUGCUAAUUGUUCUUUUCUCAGUUGGCGGCAUUAACUUUAGUCUGCAUUGAGGAGAGGGAGAAAAGGAAAGACCUAUUUAUAAUGUCUAGUGAAUUGCCUUACCCCGAUGAGAAUGACUCCUGGAACCCUGAUUGGUUCUCCCUUGAGUGUAAAAUCUGUACAUAGUCUCCUGAAUGACAUGCAUCCUCUCCUCACCUGUCUUGUCUCCAGUGGCUGCUAUUGCUAAGAAAGUGGAUGGUGUCUGAAUUCUUGUACUGUACAAAAGGCAUUUCUCUGAUAUCAUUUAGGCCGAAAUCCUUCUCCUCAAAACCAUCCUGAACCUGAACAACCCAACUUUAGCUAAUGCAAUACACGUGGUCACUGAUGGAGCCUCUUCCACUCUAAUGUUUGUCACUGCAGACGUGCAGCUUGUGUCCUGCUCACCCCUGGGUUACUCCUGUUUGUUCUCUCUACAGUAGCUCCUUGUUGGCCUUCUUCUGGUGGCAAAAUUGCAUUGAUGUUUGACUGAUCCAGUCUCACAGCGUAACUGAUUUAAACAAACAAAAAAACCUUGUGUGUCUUAAUCCUCAAAGAGGGUUCCCAUGUACUCAAUCCCCAUUUUGUCUGGUAUUUGACAAUCGAGGCGUGGCCUCCUCUUUCACGCUGUCUCUCGAACCCAGAACCGUGAAUUCUUCUGUAGACCCUUGCCACCACUGCUGACACAGAAUAACACUUGUAUGCAAAUCCCCUGUCCUGAUCUUUCCCCACCUCUUUUUACUUUGAAAAGAUGAUCUCUAAUAAAUAAGGUGACAAAGCA